rnacentral:ncRNA from 1 species
GAAAGCCGUGUGCAAUGAAAAGUGCAAGCACGGCUUGGGGAGGGAUCUUUACUUGUUUAUUUAAUUUAAGAUUAACAUUUAUUUUAUUUAAUUAUUUAACAAGGAACUUAUCUACUCCAU